rnacentral:misc_RNA from 1 species
GGCAGAAGCGCCACGCUACCCGAAUUGCAACGUCGUCGUUUAAUAUACAAGACCCUGCUUCUUUCUGCUUCUGCACCGCCUCUCCCGUCUUUAAAUUCUUCGCCUGGAAAAAUCAGUGCCGUACAGUAAGUGGCCCCCAAAUCUCUCCUAUUUCUUUAUAGAUUACACUGAAUCGCUACUACAAUUUUAUCUCUCUUCUGUAAUCCCUAAUACCCUAAUUUUAUUUUUGUUUUUUUCUUUCGUUUUUUUGUUCUUCUUCGUCAUCACCACUUGAAAACCCGAAUAAAUCCCUAAAUCAAAUUUAUUCUUCACAUUAUUGAAAUCUUGGAUCGGCAUUUCUGUUUUCUUUUUAUAUUGUUGAUUCGCAGCUGAGUCAACUCAUUGACCCACUCACCAGGUCAUCCCAUUCACGUUAGUUUCUCCAUUUCCGUACUCUACUUGUUUUAGCUGUUAGCAUCCGGUUUUCAACUGAGUUAACUCAUUGGCUGUCUCAGUGAGUUGUUGUUCAAAGAAAUUUUCUUGGAAAAUUCGAGAUUUUGAAGUCGUGGUUAGGUACUGAAAAGAGGGAUGGGAAAAAUGGAGGGUAGCAAAGGUUCUGGUGGAAUUGGUGGGGAUAAUGGGAGCUCCAGCGAGGGUCGGCCUCCG